rnacentral:sRNA from 12 species
GGCUUCAACAACCCCGUAGGUCGGGUCCGCAAAGACAGUGGAUCUACUGGAGCC